UUUUUUAAGCGUUGUUUAUUUUUUAUUUUUUUUGGUUUUUAUUGGUUUUUUAUUUGUUUUAUA
rnacentral:tRNA from 1 species